UACGAAGGGGGCUAGCGUUGCUCGGAAUCACUGGGCGUAAAGGGUGCGUAGGCGGGUUUUUAAGUCAGGGGUGAAAUCCUGGAGCUCAACUCCAGAACUGCCUUUGAUACUGAAGAUCUUGAGUUCGGGAGAGGUGAGUGGAACUGCGAGUGUAGAGGUGAAAUUCGUAGAUAUUCGCAAGAACACCAGUGGCGAAGGCGGCUCACUGGCCCGAUACUGACGCUGAGGCACGAAAGCGUGGGGAGCAACAGG
rnacentral:rRNA from 1 species